GCUCUCCUUGGCAGAACAUGGACUAAAAUUAGGACGAUGUGGGGGAGAUUAGCAUGGCCCCUGCACAAAGGUGACAGGCAGAUGCAUGACACAUUCCAUAGCGCU